AGAUAGACGGCAACCAGACGCUGAACGAAAACAUAGCUGACAACGGUGGACUCAAAAUGGCUUUUAAAGCUUACGAAUCGUUGGUCGCAAAAGAGGGCACCGAGGGCGCCCUCCCAGGGCUUGGUUUAACUGAAGAGCAACUGUUCUUUAUUGGAUUUGCAAAGCCGUGGUGCAGUAUUUACAAGAAAAAGGCAGCCCUUCACCAGCUUCAAACAGACUCUCACACAUUCCCCAAGUACAGG